GUAGUCCACGCCGUAAACGAUGAGCACUAGGUGUCGGGGCCGCAAGGCUUCGGUGCCGCAGUUAACGCAUUAAGUGCUCCGCCUGGGGAGUACGCACGCAAGUGUAAAACUCAAAGGAAUUGACGGGGACCCGCACAAGCAGCGGAGCAUGUGGUUUAAUUCGAAGCAACGCGAAGAACCUUACCAGGACUUGACAUCCCUCUGACAGGACUUUAACAGGUCCCUCCUUCGGGCAGAGGUGACAGGUGGUGCAUGGUUGUCGUCAGCUCGUGUCGUGAGAUGUUGGGUUAAGUCCCGCAACGAGCGCAACCCUUGUCAUUAGUUGCCAUCAUUUGGUUGGGCACUCUAAUGAGACUGCCGGGGAUAACUCGGA
rnacentral:rRNA from 1 species